AUUGAACGCUGGCGGCAGGCCUAACACAUGCAAGUCGAGCGGUAACACAAGGGAGCUUGCUCCUGAGGUGACGAGCGGCGGACGGGUGAGUAAUGCCUGGGAAUUUGCCCAGUUGUGGGGGAUAACAGUUGGAAACGACUGCUAAUACCGCAUAAACCCUACGGGGAAAAGCAGGGGACCUUCGGGCCUUGCGCAAUUGGAUAAGCCCAGGUGGGAUUAGCUAGUAGGUGAGGUAAUGGCUCACCUAGGCGACGAUCCCUAGCUGUUCUGAGAGGAUGAUCAGCCACACUGGAACUGAGACACGGUCCAG
rnacentral:rRNA from 1 species